rnacentral:piRNA from 1 species
AACUAUAUUGCAUAACCAGGCAG